AUUGAACGCUGGCGGCAUGCUUUACACAUGCAAGUCGAACGGUAGGGUAGCAAUACCUGAGAGUGGCGAACGGGUGAGUAAUGCAUCGGAACAUGCCCAUUAGUGGGGGAUAGCCCGGCGAAAGCCGGAUUAAUACCGCAUACGAUCUAUGGAUGAAAGCCGGGGACCGCAAGGCCUGGCGCUAAUGGAGUGGCCGAUGUCAGAUUAGCUAGUUGGUGGGGUAAAGGCUCACCAAGGCAACGAUCUGUAGCUGGUUUGAGAGAACGACCAGCCACACUGGGACUGAGACACGGCCCAGACUCCUACGGGAGGCAGCAGUGGGGAGUUUUGGACAAUGGGCGCAAGCCUGAUCCAGCAAUGCCGCGUGCAGGAUGAAGGCCUUCGGGUUGUAAACUGCUUUUGUACGGAACGAAACGGCUCUGGUUAAUACCCGGGGCUAAUGACGGUACCGUAAGAAUAAGCACCGGCUAACUACGUGCCAGCCGCCGCAGUAAAAC
rnacentral:rRNA from 1 species